GGGGCUAUAGCUCAGGCGGUUAGAGCGCUUCACUGAUAAUGAAGAGGUCCCAGGUUCAAGUCCUGGUAGCCCCA
rfam:Microbacterium testaceum StLB037 DNA, complete genome.